AAAAAUAAAUCUCAUGCAGAAAAACAGUAUUAUGUUGUAAUGCAAGCAACCAUUUUUAUCAGCUUCAACAACACAAAAGUCUGGUGAGCCUCAAGAAA